UUCCUCCUAGCUAAGUAGGUUAAGAAUCUGCCUGCAAUGCAGGAGACCUAGGUUCCAUUCCUGGGUUGGGAA
rnacentral:tRNA from 1 species